rnacentral:rRNA from 1 species
UACGUAGGGUGCAAGCGUUAAUCGGAAUUACUGGGCGUAAAGCGUGCGCAGGCGGUUCGUUGUGUCGGCGGUGAAAGCCCCGGGCUUAACCUGGGAAUGGCCGUUGAAACUGGCGAACUGGAGUGUGGCAGAGGGGGGUGGAAUUCCGGCGUGUAGCAGUGAAAUGCGUAGAGAUGCGGAGGAACACCGAUGGCGAAGGCAGCCCCCUGGGCUAACACUGACGCCUCAGGCACGAAAGCGUGGG